rnacentral:rRNA from 1 species
UAAAGUCGUACAAGGUUUCCGUAGGUGAACCUGCGGAAGGAUCAUUA